rnacentral:rRNA from 1 species
GACGUAGGGCGCGAGCGUUGUCCGGAAUUAUUGGGCGUAAAGAGCUCGUAGGCGGUGUGUCACGUCGGCCGUGAAAACCUGCAGCUUAACUGUGGGCGUGCGGUCGAUACGGGCAUCACUGGAGUUCGGCAGGGGAGACUGGAAUUCCUGGUGUAGCGGUGAAAUGCGCAGAUAUCAGGAGGAACACCGGUGGCGAAGGCGGGUCUCUGGGCCGAUACUGACGCUGAGGAGCGAAAGCGUGGGGGGCAAACAGG